UACAGAGGGUGCAAGCGUUAAUCGGAAUUACUGGGCGUAAAGAGCACGUAGGCGGCGGUGCAAGUUGGGGGUGAAAUCCCGGGGCUCAACCCUGGAAUUGCCUCCAAAACUGUGCUGCUUGAGUUCGGAAGAGGAGAGUGGAAUUCCCAGUGUAGAGGUGAAAUGCGUAGAUAUUGGGAAGAACACCAGUGGCGAAGGCGGGCCUCUGGUCCGAUACUGACGCUGAGGUGCGAAAGCGUGGGGAGCAAACAGG
rnacentral:rRNA from 1 species